rnacentral:rRNA from 1 species
AUGUCGGCGGUGGUUGUGCAGGACGUCGUGCCGCCCAUCGAGGCUGCCUCGGCAGCCGAGGUGGAGUGGGCGGCGUGCGCGUGCUGCGGGCUGAGGGAGGAGUGCACUGCGGCGUACGCGGCCGGCGUGCGCGCGCAGUACGCCGGGCGGUGGCUGUGCGGCCUCUGCGCCGACGCCGUGGGCGAGGAGCUCGCUUCGGCUGGCGUCGGGGGAGGAGGAUCGGCCACGGCGGAGGUAGAGGCGGCGAUUGCGAGGCACGCCGCCUUCUGCCGGUCGUCGCCCGCAGCGGCCGAGCGGCUCAUCGCCGCGGUGCGGCGGCUGCUCCGCAGCCAGAGCGGGAGGAAGGCGAAGGCCGUGGUGGUGCUCGAGUUCCAGGAGGCCUGA